rnacentral:piRNA from 1 species
UAGGAUGCAAAUCAAAAUACUGAGUGUCUCU